rnacentral:rRNA from 1 species
AGCGAACGUUUGCGGCGGGCUUAACACAUGCAAGUCGAACGGGCAGUCCCUUCGGGGGCUGUCAGUGGCGCACGGGUGCGUAACACGUAGGUAAUCAACCCUCGGGUUCGGGAUAACACUUCGAAAGGGGUGCUAAUACCGGAUGCGACGAGCGUCUCCUCGGAGAUGCACGGGAAAGAUCCGCAAGGGUCGCCCGAGGACGAGCCUGCGGCCCAUCAGCUUGUUGGUGAGGUAAUGGCUCACCAAGGCUAAGACGGGUAGCUGGUCUGAGAGGAUGAUCAGUCACACUGGAACUGAGACACGGUCCAGACUCCUACGGGAGGCAGCAGUGGGGAAUAUUGCGCAAUGGGCGAAAGCCUGACGCAGCCACGCCGCGUGAGCGAUGAAGGCCU